CUCGCUCGGAAAGGCUGCUAUACCAUACCUUUUGACUCAACUAUACUCUAGUAGUCACUGGACUCACUAUAGUAGUCCGUCCGGCUGCUCUUGCUGAAAUCAUUACUCUUCAUUCUCCCGUGCUCUAGCAAUUGCACUCCCUAUACCACUACCAUGUAGUUAGGUAGAGACAAUCAAUCCGUAGUGACGGGAAUCUGGGGAUCCCUAUCCAUAUCCAAAAUGAAUAAUAUAUAUAAGCUGCUACCUUUCUCUCACUCAAUAGAUGUAUCUGGUCUGGUAUGGUACAAUACGAGACGAUGGAAUGCAAUGGGAUGGAUGGUAGAGGGCUGCCUGUGCCCAAAAGCGAUGAUUCACUUGUCCCCUUGUCCAUAGGGACCUCGUGGCAUACAACCGAAACGACUCCCGCUAUAUAGCCGCCCCUAUCUCUCUUUCUUUUUACAGCCUCGUGGACGGACUAAAGAAGGGAAGUUACAGAACGGGGCGGUGAAGGCUCGAGAAGUAGACAGCAAGCUUUUCUCAGCCCCAGCCCCCUAACCUUUCUAUUAUUAAAGCGCUAGCGCGCCCCUAUCUCUAAUCUAAAGGGGCGUAAGCACUUCACUCGCUAGGGGAUGGGAUUCAUUCACUUG
rnacentral:lncRNA from 1 species